rnacentral:rRNA from 1 species
CUGACGCAGCACGCCGCGUGCGGGAUGACGGCCUUCGGGUUGUAAACCGCUUUCAGCAGGGACGAAGCGAAAGUGACGGUACCUGCAGAAGAAGCACCGGCCAACUACGUGCCAGCAGCCGCGGUGAUACGUAGGGUGCAAGCGUUGUCCGGAAUUAUUGGGCGUAAAGAGCUCGUAGGCGGUUUGUCGCGUCGGAAGUGAAAACUCAGUGCUUAACACUGAGCCUGCUUCCGAUACGGGCAGACUAGAGGAAGGUAGGGGAGAAUGGAAUUCCUGGUGGAGCGGUGGAAUGCGCAGAUAUCAGGAGGAACACCAGUGGCGAAGGCGGUUCUCUGGACCUUUCCUGACGCUGAGGAGCGAAAGCGUGGGGAGCAAACAGGCUUAGAUACCCUGGUAGUCCACGCCGUAAACGGUGGGUACUAGGUGUGGGGACCAUUCCACGGUCUCCGUGCCGUAGCUAACGCAUUAAGUACCCCGCCUGGGGAGUACGGCCGCAAGGCUAAAACUCAAAGGAAAUUGACGGACGCGUCGACCCCG